rnacentral:rRNA from 1 species
AUUGAACGCUGGCGGCAUGCCUAACACAUGCCAGUCGAGCGGAUGAAGGGAGCUUUCUCCUGGAUUCAGCGGCGGACGGGUGAGUAAUGCCUAGGAAUCUGCCUUGUCUUUGGGGAUAACGUCCGGAAACGGGCGCUAAUCUCGCAUCCGACCAUAGGUAGAACGUGGGGGUUCUUCAGACCUCACGGUUUCUGAUGAGCCUAGUACGGAUUAGCUAGCUGGAUGGGUAAAGGCCUACCAAGGCGACGAUCCGUAACUGGUCUGAGAGGAUGACCAGUCACACUGGAACUGAGGCACGGUCCAGACUCCUACGGGAGGCAGCAGUGGGGAAUAUUGGGCAAUGGGCGAAAGCCUGAUCCAGCCAUGCCGCGUGAGUGAAGAAGGUCUUCGGAUUGUAAAGCACUGUAAGUUGGGAGGAAGAGAAGUAAGUUAAUACCUGGCUGUUUUGACGGUACCAACAGAAUAAGCACCGGCUAACUACGUG